ACCGGUAUGGCCGAGUGUUUAAGGCGUUAGACUUAAGUUCGUAUGGAUGUAUAUCCACGUGGGUUCGAACCCAACUCCUGGUA
rfam:Xenopus laevis strain J chromosome 2S, whole genome shotgun sequence.